UUUCUCAGUUGUUUUCUCUCUCUCUCUCUCUCUCUCUCUCUCUCUCUGAUGUUCUUUCUCAUCUUCCUCUCUGUUUUUCUUUCACACUCUCAGCUGUGUUGUUCUCUCUGUCUUUCUAUCUCUCUGUCUUGCUCUUCGUCUGUCAUUCUCUCUUUGUUCUUCUGUCACUCUCUCUGUACUUCUAUCUGUCUUUCUCUCUCUCUCUCUCUCUCUCUCUGGCCACCAGAAGGUGGAGCUGCAGCAUCUUAUCAUUGUACAUACAAAAUGGACAAAACAUGACAGACUUCUUUUUAAGGGGAGUGUUAAUCCAGCAGUGGAUGAGACGCAGUACGGAGCACAGAGACAGAAAAAGCGGGAAAGCUGGAGGAGUGUGUUGGUCUGAGUGCCGUUAGGAAUGUCUGCGAUAAAGCUGUUAUUUUGACGCAAACUCCGAACACCCGCCAUUGUGUUGCGAGCUCGACGCCGUAAUUGGAAAACUAGCCCUCGGAAGAUCAUGUGAUAUUUAUUUCUGAGAGCCAGCACCCCUCCCUGUUCACUACAAAGUAUUUACACGCAUUCUCUCACAGCGGUGAUGGAGGGACGCGGCCCUGCAAACAUUUCACCCAAAUAACUGCAGCUAAGUGACAUUUUAUAUCGAAGCAGAAGUUCAGGUUCAGCUCUUAGUGACAGCUUUGUGUUUGCUGAAAGGAGAAAGGCUUGGAAAUGAGAUUUGCUUUGAGCU